ACUGGGUCUAAUGCUCCGUAGCCAAAAUAUACUGGAAAGUUUUUUUGGCGAUAACAAGAACCGCAUGUGGUUUGCUUGGCGAAAGGAUGGGUCUGCGGCAGAUUAGGUAGUUGGCGGGGUAAUUGCCCACCAAGCCAAAGAUCUGUACGGGCAAUGAAAGUUGGAGCCCGGAGAAGGGUACUGAGAAAAGGACCCUAGCCCUACGGGGUGCAGCAGUCCCGAAACCUUUACAAUGCGCGAAAGCGUGAUAGGGGAACUUCAAGUGCUCGCUUUGCGGGCUUUUGCCAAAUCCAAAAGGUUUGGCGAAUAAGUGGGGGGUAAUAUACGUGCCAGCCGCCGCGGUAAUACGUAACCCACAAGUGGUGUCCACUAAUAUUGGGCCUAAAACGUUCGUAGCCUGUUAGUUAAGUCUCUGGUGAAAUCCGACAGCUCAACUGUUGGAAUGGCUGGAGAUACUGGCUGACUCGAGGCCGGUUGACGUCAAGGGAAUUUCUGAGGUAACGGUAAAAUGUGAUGAUCUUAGAAGGACCUCCAGUAGCGAAGGCGCUUGACGAGGACGGACCUGACGGUGAGGAACGAAAGCUGGGGGAGCGACCCGGAUUAGAUACCCGGUUAGUCCCAGCUGUAAACGGUGUGGACUAGGUGUGCUAGCACCUACAUGGUGCGGGCGUGCCGUCGCGAAGGCAUUAAGUCCACUGCCUGGGAAGUACGAUCGCAAGGUUGAAACUUAAAGGAAUUGGCGGGGACGCACUACAAGGGGUGGAGGCUGCGGUUUAAUUG
rnacentral:rRNA from 1 species